UUAGCCAAAGACAUGAAUUUGCCUUUUGCCAGAAGCCUAGAAGACCUAAAUAUUAGAGCACCUGCGAAAGAGCCCCCUUUUUAAAAAUAAUCUCUUGGCUUUCUGGGGGAAGCCACUCCUGUGCCGAGGGACAGAACUGCCACGUCAGCAAAAUCUUCAGAGAUGACUAUUCAGAGAUAUGUCUCAGGAAGGCUAUGGAACUAGAUCUCAACCUCCUCUGGCCCCUGGAAAACCCAACCAUGAAGACUUGAACUUAAUACAACAAGAAAGACCAUCAAGUUUACCAGAUGAAAAAGUCAAUAGACUACUCAUUAACAACAACAGGAACAAACUCAUUUAAAGGAAAUCAGAAAAUACUAUCAAUGGUUUAUUUAUUGCAAGAGGAAGGAGAUUUCUGAUUAAUGAGUUCAAGGAUUUUUAGGCUCAUAUGCCACCUCAGUACGGACAGCAGGGUGUGAGUGGUUACUGCCACCAAGGCCAACAGCCAUAUUACAACCAGCAGCCGCAGCCCCCACACCUUCCACCCCAGGCACAGUACCUGCCAUCCCAGUCCCAGCAGAGGUACCAGCCACAGCAGGUAAGAAUAGCCCACUACUCUGCAGACCUUGUUUUCUCCUCCAGGUCUGUGUUCAGAGGCAGAUGAUGCUCCCUACAUCUUUCUGUCCCCUUUGAAUGAUCAUGUUCUCAGUGGAAAACAAAUAGAUACAAAACUAUACCCUAAUCUAACCCUUCCUCCCUCUUUCCCUUCCUUGCUCCCUCCCUCCAUUGUUUUUUGCGUGCUUUAGAUCGAAAGGGUAGGAAGAAUGACUAGUUUAAUAGCUGCCUGCAUUACUGGCUAGUGAUAGCAGAAAGUGUCACUCAUUUCGUCAUCUUUGUCAUUUGUAUCUUAAUCUUUCAUGAAAACCCUCUGCCACUUUGUUAAGGCUUAUUCAGAAGAAUGCUUUUACCCAUCAUUUAAUCCUUCUAGUUGGCACAUACAUGAUAUUUUUUAUCUUGACCUUUUGUUUUGUUUUAAUGGUGAGUGACAUUGCAUGAAAACAUUGCUGCCUUUUGACAGUGUUACUUUCUUUAAAUUAUAAACAGACAAUUGCUUCAAUUAUAAUAUACUAAAAUAAAAAUGGGAAUUGUCUGGUGUAGGUAUAUUGAGCAACUUCUCUGUUUUUGUUUUUUUCUUCUUUUUUCAUCUGAGACAGGGUCUUGCUAUGUAUCCUAGACUGGUCUUGAACUCUUAAUCUUCCUGCCUCAUCCUCCAGAGUCCUGGGAUUACAGACAUAUACUAUCACGCCCAGCUAGUUUCUAGUUUAAAUUGGCCUCAUUAAAUACUCUUUUAUGUUAUUGGGCUGUAUUUUUCAGCUUAUAUGAGUAAGAAAAGUAGUACAUAGUAUAUAUGUAUAUAUUUGACAAAAUGAGUUGGUUUCAUUUUGUUUUAGCCACUGUCAUUGAGUGAAGAGUAGUGAGUGAGGGAUAAGCACUUCCAAUCACGAGCAUCAAGAGGCAACUUUCCAUGUUGAUCUUUUCCUCCAUUCUUUCUCUUUUGUUGGGAUGGGAGUAGUGAAGAGAAGAGGAAUACAGGUAAUGUGGACUUUAUCGUUUUUUGAGGGCUUCUUACAUGGUUUAAACAGAUUAUUGACCCAAAGCCAAAUAUAUAAAUAGUUGAGGGCUAAAGAUAUUACUGAAGUGGUAGUAUGUUUGCCUACCAUGCGAGUUCAAACCCCACUACUACAAACAAGCAAAACAAAAAGCCAAACAAAUAUAUUGAGAUUAAUUUUAAUCAAUUUAGUGAAUUUCCUAAGUAUUUUCUUGGGUUUGUUGGAGUCUGUUCCCAUGUGACUUUGGUUACAGAGUUCUAAAGAGAAUUUGACAUUAAACGUUAAAACUACAGUAGAAAUUCAGGAUUGUGUACAGUGUUGCAUGUAUGUUUUCAAAAUUUUGUUACUGUAUCUAGAAGUAGGUAUGUACAUUAUUUCAGAGUUAUCUUGUCUAGCUUUUAAUAAAGGUAUGAACAUCUUAAUGUAAUUCAGUCAGUUCUUUUUAGUGAGAGAGACUGGUACUUACUCAGGUUUUGAUAGAUAAUGUUGUAGGCUUUUUCAAGGGGCUUUCAGAGUCUGUUGAACUUCUGUGGCUAUAGAAUGUUUUGCCUUGUUAUCAGAAUUUAAGAACUCAUUGAGAAUCAGGCAUUGGUGGCUCACACCUGUAAUCCUUGCUACUCAGGAGGUAGAGAUCAGGA